UACGAAGGGGGCUAGCGUUGUUCGGAUUUACUGGGCGUAAAGCGCACGUAGGCGGAUCUUUAAGUCGGGGGUGAAAUCCUGGAGCUCAACUCCAGAACUGCCUUCGAUACUGGCGAUCUUGAGUCCGGAAGAGGUGAGUGGAACUGCUAGUGUAGAGGUGGAAUUCGUAGAUAUUAGGAAGAACACCAGUGGCGAAGGCGGCUCACUGGUCCGGUACUGACGCUGAGGUGCGAAAGCGUGGGGAGCAAACAGG
rnacentral:rRNA from 1 species